rnacentral:lncRNA from 1 species
UCAUUUAAAUGAAAUUUUUAAUUUAUUUAUUUAGCCGUUCAUUAACAAGUCCUGUGCUUUAUAAUAUAUUAAAAAAUGGAAGGACGUGAAGAAAACAAGUUUGUAAAUGAUGUUGUACAUCAUGCAGAUAGCUCAGAAAAAGAAGCAGGAAUGUUUGACUGGAAAUAUAAACGAUGUUGUACAUAAUGCAGAUAGCUUAGGCAAAAAAGAGAUUGGUGAAAUAGAGAAUGAGACUAACUAGGGUGAAAAAAAAUGAAUAUUAAUAUGUGAAUAGCACUUUGUUUAACAUCUACCUGUUUCUACAGAUACAGUACAGACGCAUUUAUAAAUGGGCUUGAUGUUUUUUUGAAUUAAAUAUGUUGUAUUGAUGGUUCUUUUUAACUUGU